GGAGCUGUGCCUGAGCGCCGAAGGGCCACUUUGAUAGAGUGAACUACGGGGGCUAAAAUCCCCCCGGCUCCU
rnacentral:tRNA from 1 species